rnacentral:sRNA from 16 species
GUCAGCACCCCGCCCUAAAGAGCAGGGGCCGAAGCGCCUCUCUUUUUAGGUAGCUAGUACCCGCCUAAGUCCCUUGAGGGCUACGUUAUCGGUGAGAGUUAACGUUCCGAGCGGGAGAUGCGUGGCCAGUCUCCGGCUCUAGAA